rnacentral:rRNA from 1 species
CUCAGGAUGAACGCUAGCGACAGGCUUAACACAUGCAAGGUCGAGGGGCAUCACGGUGUAGCAAUACACGUGGUGGCGACCGGCGCACGGGGUGAGUAACACGUAUGCAACCUGGCCUUAGUCAGGGGGAUAAUCGGGGGGAAACCCCGUCUAAUACCGCGUAUAUGGUAUAGAGGCAUCUUGUACCAAGAAAGGAGUGAUCCGGAUAAGGAUGGGCAUGCGGGACAUUAGGUAGUAGGUGAGGUAACGGCUCACCAAGGCGACGAUCAGUAGCCGGUCUGAGAGGAUGAACGGCCACAUUGGGACUGAGACACGGUCCAGACUCCUACGGGAGGCAGCAGUGAGGAAUAUUGGUCAAUGGCCGAGAGGCUGAACCAGCCAUGCCGCGUGAAGGUCACGGCCCUAUGGGUCUUAAACUUCUUUUGUAAGGGAGCAAUAAGUUUCACGUGUGGGACGAUGAGAGUACCUUACGAAUAAGCAUCGGCUAACUCCGUG